GGAUUGUGGCUCAGUGGUAGAGUGCCUGCCUUGAAUGUGUGAGGCUCUGAGUUUGAUCCUCAGCACCA
rnacentral:tRNA from 1 species